CCGUGCUAGGCGGGGAGCUAGCGGUGCCCUGUACCCGCAAGCCGCUCUAGCGGGGCUGAAUCCCUGCCCGAGGGUCCGCGUCCGAAGAGAGCGCCGAGCACGGAGUGUUGACGGUCAGGUCCCGCGCAACGUCACCCUGUGAAUCGCGUCAGGUCCGGGAGGAAGCAGCGCUAAGCGGGCACUGACGGGUGCCGCGGGCGUGCCGGGCCCGAGCCACCGGCUCGUGCAAGCGCUUCGGGCGACGGAUUCGACGGCAGGUGCACGG
rnacentral:SRP_RNA from 1 species